AAAAUAAAUGAAAAAGAAAACAUGAAAUUUCAAAGGAUAUUCUAGAACUUGGCAUUAUUUUCAGUAUCACUAGCCCUUAUCUCACCCUAAAACUGACCCGAACAAUACUGGGGGCGUGGAAUACGAUGAUUACGCAAUUUUCUACCUCGA